ACACCUGCCCCCCUCAAGGCAGUCUUCUGUCUGCACACACAGCCCUGUACACAGGCACCCAGGUAUAAACAGAUGCUGGGGAGGAGCAGUGAGGUCACAUAAAGAUCUGGGAGCACUAGGGAUACCUCCUGCUCCUCUCAUUUCCCGCCUCUCUGAGGACUCUUCCUUGGUGCUCCCUUCUACCAAUAGAGAAGCACUUUCUGGGGUUACAGUUUUGGGGGUCAGAGUGCACCCCUCAUCUUCUUCCUCUCCUUCCUUCCCUACCCAGCUGCUCUACUCGCAAAGCCACCUGUCACCCCAGAGACAGAGGCCGGAAACUCCUGGUUGCUAGGCAACCCUGUCUCCCUGGCCACCCCCUCCUGUUGCCAUGGCUGCCAUGACUGAGAGGGUAACAGCAGAGGGGAGCGCACAAAGGUUAGGCUGUGAAAGGACAUUCCUAGAGCAGGGAAUAACCCUCGAUAUCCGGCCAUCCCCCCACCACCACCACCCAGCUUCCUCUAGAACCCAGCCCAACCCUCAUGGCGUAGAUGAAAGCCUGGAGCCCAGAGAGACUUUGGCUGACUGGGGAGCCCAAGGAAGCCCUGAAGAAGGUUUGAAGGAUGCCUCUUUGCCAGUCCUCAGAUGGUGUGGAGAAGGCCCUACCCACUUCCCCUAGGCUAAGUCCAAGUCUUACCUGAGCUGGGGGCGUCCAAGGAGCCAUAGAAGAAUUCCCAUUUGGCUCGAGCGAUUCUCUGAGCAUGAGAGGAGACUUCCCGGGUGGAGGACCAGGUGUCCCCCUGAGCCAAAGAGGAAGUGAAAGGCACAGGACCCCAAAAUGAAAGCCAGACAUACAAGGACACAGAAUAUGGAGCAGCAGAAAGAAGACCACAUGGGACAGGAUGAAGGUGCGGGAACACAGCGACAGAGGGCGAGAAAGCUGAUUUAGGACAUUAAAGGAUUUGGGUGAAUAUGA